rnacentral:rRNA from 1 species
AUUGAACGCUGGCGGCAGGCCUAACACAUGCAAGUCGAGCGGAGCGGCGGACGGGCGAGUAAUGCCUAGGAAUCUGCCUGGUAGUGGGGGAAAAAGUCCGGAAACGGGCGAUAAUACCGCAUACUAUUAGAUGAGCCUAGGUUGGAUUAGCGAGUUGGUGGGGUAAUGUCCUACCAAGGCGACGAUCCGUAACUGGUCUGAGAGGAGGAUCAGUCACACUGGAACUGAGACACGGCCCGGACUCCUACGGGAGGCAGCAGUGGGGAAUAUUGGACAAUGGGCGGAAGCCUGGUCCAGCCAUGCCGCGUGUGUGAAGAAGGUCUUCGGAUUGUAAAGCACUUUAAGUUGGGAAGCGUUACCAACAGAAUAAGCACCGGCUAACUUCGUGCCAGCAGCCGCGGUAAUAC